GACGAACGCUGGCGGCGUGCUUAACACAUGCAAGUCGAACGGAAAGGCCCUGCUUUUGUGGGGUGCUCGAGUGGCGAACGGGUGAGUAACACGUGAGUAACCUGCCCUUGACUUUGGGAUAACUUCAGGAAACUGGGGCUAAUACCGGAUAGGAGCUCCUGCUGCAUGGUGGGGGUUGGAAAGUUUCGGCGGUUGGGGAUGGACUCGCGGCUUAUCAGCUUGUUGGUGGGGUAGUGGCUUACCAAGGCUUUGACGGGUAGCCGGCCUGAGAGGGUGACCGGCCACAGUGGGACUGAGAUACGGCCCAGACUCCUACGGGAGGCAGCAGUGGGGAAUAUUGCACAAUGGGCGGAAGCCGGAUGCAGCAACGCCGCGUGCGGGAGGACGGCCUUCGGGUUGUAAACCGCUUUCGCCUGUGACGAAGCGUGAGUGACGGUAAUGGGUAAAGAAACACCGGCUAACUACGU
rnacentral:rRNA from 1 species